GCAGGCAUUACAGGAAGUUUUGGAGAGGAGAAGCUGAUCAGCAACAAGGAGCCUGAGCAGGUACGGUGCGGGCCUUUCCCAGGCGUGGCUGAGGAUUUGAGGUGAGGUAGAAUGGAUGCCACGGGCAGCCUCACAGCCACAGUGCUGGAGCGUGGCUUUGGCACAGUACAGGUGAUAAAGGCAACUGUGGUGACUGAAGGGAGAUCAGUGCAGAUGCGGCUGCCACUGAGGAUGGCUCUUGAGGACCGAUGGUGAUGCCCAGCAUUUGAACAAUGCUGAGCAGUGUUCCAAGUGGUCCCAAGGGAGCUGGAGGAAGAAAGGGG